rnacentral:misc_RNA from 1 species
GAAAUGCGAUAAGUAGUGUGAAUUGCAGAAUUCAGUGAAUCAUCGAAUCUUUGAACGCACAUUGCGCCCCUUGGUAUUCCAUGGGGCAUGCCUGUUCGAGCGUCAUUUGUACCUUCAAGCUUUGCUUGGUGUUGGGUGUUUGUCUCGCCUCUGCGCGCAGACUCGCCUCAAAACAAUUGGCAGCCGGCGUAUUGAUUUCGGAGCGCAGUACAUCUCGCGCUUUGCACUCAUAACGACGACGUCCAAAAAGUACAUUUUUACACUCUUGACCUCGGAUCAGGUAGGGAUACCCGCUGAACUUAAGC